rnacentral:SRP_RNA from 1 species
CCGUGCUAGGCGGGGCAGUAGCGGCGUCCUAUAUCCGCAAUCCGCUCUAGCGGAGCUGAAUUCCCUCUCGAGGGGCACGGCUCCGGGCCAACGUACGCUGCCACGGCGUCGAUGGUCGGGUCCCGCACGACGUCGGCCCGUGAAUCAGGUCAGGUCCGGAAGGAAGCAGCCUUAAGCGGUCACCGGUGGGCGUCGCGGGGUCGCCCGAUCGGAGUCAGUGAGGCGGACAGUCCCUGGAGGCCGACUUCGACAGAGGGUGCACGG